UGGUGACAACAGACUCCAAAGAGAAAGAUGCCUGGCUAGGCCAAUUAGAGAUCUUAGAUAAUUACUAUAUGCAUGCAACAUUAGAUAGUUUUAUUUUCAUUAAACUUUUAAAUCUUUUAAAAUCUCUUACAGACCCUACUUUGAAGCUAGCUUGAUAUAAUGCUAAUGUGACCUUGAACGAUUUCUUUCUUCCUGAGUUUGCCUACUAGUAUAGCUUAAAGAUCCAAGUUACACUAUUACUCACUUAUAUCAUAGCCAGCAUUGCUUGAUCAGAUUAUCAGAUAGAUACAGUAUCACGGAGACAAAAUCCUUUCAUUAUGAUGUAAGAUAAAAAAUAUCUUUCAUUAACAACACACGUAAAGGAAGUACCCAUUGGACCAACUCAGAAACUCUGGAAAGAACUCUAACCAUAACAGUUAAACAAGGUACCAGACCAGAAGAUCAGAUCGUAGAAGUUACUGGAGAAAAAGAUCAGCAGACAGCACUCUUGAACUACAUGCCAGGCCUCUUCUUCCUGGAACUCUAAUGGAUUUAAAUGGCUUAAGAGACGGGAUGAAUUGUUGAAAAUGGUUCUUUCAAAAGACCUCACGGAAGGCCAAAGACAAGACUCACUGAGGCCAAGUGAUCAACAAUAUCUAUAAGUUGACGCAUUCUAAUCAUGUGGCGAUCUUGACCUUGAGAGCUUGAUUUGUGGACCAGUGUCCCCAAGAAGAUGACCAUCAGACAGAUGACAAUCCUCUCCAUGUUGCCAGGACUGGAUCUCAUAAGUACCAACAGUAGAGCUAGACCUUGGUCUCGUUUUCACUUCAGCUUGACUGAGAACAGUAUACGUGUGCAUGUGCUAAUGUGUGGGGGCAGGGAUUGAUGGAGUCAACGAAAUGUGCCCCAUCUGCAUCUUUGACAGGAAAAAGAGAGAAUGGGUGAAUUCCAAUUUUCAGCAUGAAUCAAGAAAAUGCUAAGUGAAUGCAGAAAACUGCAUCCAGCUGAACUGAGCCAUGUAGGAAUACGUAAGAUGUCCUCACACCUCUGACAGCCACCAGCAUCCUCAGUUCACUGCAUGUGUAAUGAGCCACACCCAUCUACAUCUGGUGUCACAAUUUUCCAUCCCAGAGAACUCUGCUUCGCCAUGUCUCAGUAACUCACAAACUGUAACCCUUCCAACACCCACCUCCAUGAACAAACUUAAAGUCCUUUUCUAGUUGCUAUCUUCCUUUUCAGUGUCACCGAUGAAGUUUUUGAAUGCUGUGCUCCUAAUCUCAUUUUCCUGUAAGCAUCUCCAGAGACUUCGGCGAACGGUGAUGCAAACCGUGUUUCUUCAGCAUGUGAGCACCGUCAGGCAUGAGUGUGGCAGCUCCAGAAUGUCUAUACCGGAGAGGCUGAGAGUCAGCAACUUGGCUGGAAGCUACACUUGAAUAGCAAACAAACCACUUUUACUUAGUUUCCAUGUCUAUUUGGUACCUUGGAGUACAGUGAUGAGUUUUACUAGAUGUGGACUUUCCAGGAAUAUAGCCAAGGUCGUCACCAUGAAAUCUUGGCUCCAACAUGGGAUACUCAGCAGUGAGGCUAGAGAUCAGAUGUCCUUCAUUCCUUGACCACUAAGCCUAGAGGAUGGAGAGAAAGAACUGGAACAUCUGCACUCUUCAACCUGAGUCCACUCCAACUCCAUACCACAAGGCGACAGGUGGCUAUAGCACCCUUCGUCUUGGCCCUGCAGCCACCAAUACACAACCAUAAAAAUAAAGUAGUCCAAUU
rnacentral:lncRNA from 1 species